rnacentral:rRNA from 1 species
UUCCGGUUGAUCCUGCCAGAGGCCACUGCUAUCGGAGUUCGAUUAAGCCAUGCGAGUCGAGAGGGGAAAGCCCUCGGCAUACUGCUCAGUAACACGUGGAUAACCUGCCCUGCGGUGGGAAAUAACCCCGGGAAACUGGGGAUAAUGUCCCAUAGACUACGGAUACUGGAAUGUUCUGUAGUUCAAAGAUUUAUCGCCACAGGAUGGGUCUGCGGCCGAUUAGGUAGUUGUUGGGGUAACGGCCCAACAAGCCUUUGAUCGGUACGGGUUGUGGGAGCAAGAGCCCGGAGAUGGAUUCUGAGACACGAAUCCAGGCCCUACGGGGCGCAGCAGGCGCGAAAACUUUACAAUGCGGGAAACCGUGAUAAGGGAACUCCGAGUGUCCGUAAAUGCGGACUGUCCGUAUGUUUAAAAAGCAUGCGAAGAAAGGGCCGGGCAAGACCGGUGCCAGCCGCCGCGGUAAUACCGGCGGCUCGAGUGGUGGCCACUAUUAUUGGGCUUAAAGCGUUCGUAGCUGGGUUGUUAAGUUUCUUGGGAAAUCUACCGGCUUAACCGAUAGGCGUCCAAGGGAUACUGGCAAUCUAGGGACCGGGAGAGGCGAGGGGUACUUCAGGGGUAGGAGUGAAAUCCUGUAAUCCUUGGGGGACCACCUGUGGCGAAGGCGCCUCACCAGAACGGCUCCGACAGUGAGGGACGAAAGCUGGGGGAGCAAACCGGAUUAGAUACCCGGGUAGUCCCAGCCGUAAACGAUGCGCGUUAGGUGUAUCGAUGACCACGAGUCAUCGAGGUGCCGAAGGGAAACCGUGAAACGCGCCGCCUGGGAAGUACGGUCGCAAGGCUGAAACUUAAAGGAAUUGGCGGG